rnacentral:lncRNA from 1 species
CAGAGAUGUAUUCUGGCUUUCCACUGGGCCCAGCCACAACCUGAAGCCGGCAGAGGAGAGUCCUUCUCUCCCAGGUGUCCCCCACACCUGCAGGACACAGGGUGUGCCUUCAGCUGGCUGGAUGCAGGAGAAGAGUCCAAGAUUCCUGGGGACAGUGGAGUUACUGGAUAGAGAGCUUGAAUUCCUGACUCAUUGCUUGCAGGAGAGCUGCUUAACUGGGCACAUCUGGGUUGGACUUGGCAUGAACCAGUGGUGAGAAAUGAGGUCUCAGUCCAACAGCCAACGGGGAAUUAAGGUUGGCCAACAACAACAUGAGUGACCUUGAAAUGGGAGCCUCCUCCAGUUGAGCCUUCAAAUGACUGCAGCCCGUUGGUGGCACAUGCCUGUAGUCCCAGUUACUCAGGAGGCUGAGGCCGGAGGAUAACUUGAGCCCAGGAGUUUGAGGCUGUAGUUAUGACAUUAUGAUUGUGCUUGUUAAUAGCCACUGCACUCCAGCCUGGGCAACAGAGUGAGACCCCGUCUCUUAAAACAACAACAACAACAACAACAAAACUGCAGCCUGAGCCAAUAUCUUGUCUGCAACCUGAUGAGAGAUACUGAGGCAGAACCCAGUUAUGCUGCUCCUGGAUUCCUGACCCCCAUAACCAUAGAUAAUAA